UAAGUAUGGAUAGAUUUUCCCUGAGAGU
rnacentral:piRNA from 1 species